GGGAGGUUAGCGGGGUGGUCAGAGCACCCGUCUCCUGUAUUGAUUGAGCGGGGCGGGCGGUUGAGGGUUCAAAUCCCUCACUUCCUACCA
rnacentral:tRNA from 1 species